AUGGACAAUAACACAUGAAGCGCAUGAACCACAUUAAAAGAAUAUUUCAGGUUAAAUACAACUUAAUGCUGUCAAAUACUACAAACGAUAAUCUCUCAGUUUGUAAAAACAUAUCUACACUUUUGUAGGGCACUUCCAAUGGAGGCAAGUGUACUCAAGGGUCUGAAGGCAGAAAUGUGUAGGCCAUGUUUUGUUAAAGCAUUUACAUUAAUACUUCAGUUCAAAAUUGAGCUGUCUAAAUUGUCCUUUUCUUGGUGGGUGUUUCUUUUGCACAGAUAUUUUGUAAAAGUUGCCAGGUAUAUCAGAUUAUGGUCAUUGCAUGAUUUGAAAGACUGGAUAUACUGUAACUUUACACAGACAAGGUAGGUAAGCUAAUCGAUUGCACCAUUAUGCUAAACAUUCAUUCACUAUGCUGUAGAUCUGCACCAUGGGCUCCCAUUGUAAGUGUAUUACUGUACACAAAUUUUUCCUUUGUUUUCACAAACUGUGGGAUGAGUCAAAAUUAUUUUCUUUUCCAAUCAAAAAUAUGCCGCAGAUGCUGUCGAUAGAGCUUAAAGCUGAAGUGUGUAAUUUCUGCAACACUAGUGUCACAAAACGUAAUUGCAAAUGUAACCAUUGUUUUCAAACAGGAUUCCAACACAUUCCCUGUCUGCCAUCAGCCGGUUAACAGAUAGCCCGCCUAACACUAUUAUUUAACACAAUGUUUCUGUGUCAGGCUGGGGUGCUUUUCCCAUACAACGUUGUAACUCACUGAUUAACUACCAUACACUCUUAGAAAAAGGUUCUUUGGGGUUCUAUAUAAAACCCUAGGGUUCUUUCCUCGGCUCCAUAGAACCCUUUAUGCCAAAUAGGUUCUAUUUACAAAGAUUUAUAGAAUAAAGAACACAUUUUGCACACAAGGGUUCUUUGGGUUGGCAAUUGCUUAAUGUGAGUAUGUAUGUGUAUGUUUAAAUUACAUAAUUGAAAGUUUUGUUUAUAAAUAGUUUUGAACACUACUCUACAUUACUUUUGUAUUUGCAUUUCAUACUGCAGAAAAAUAAAACUUUUACAAUGUGCUUCUACAGCUUUGGUUUCGAUUAGAAUAGGAUAAAUGACAGAUGAUCAGAUCCAAUGUCCUUUCUCUUUUAGAUGACAGGUUUAUCUUAGUAUUAAUAUACAGUCUGUUGUAUAGUUUAUUCUUGACUCAUAAUUCAACAAAAGAUGCACAAAAUUGUGUUUACCAUAAACAGCAAACAACUUGAGUGUGUAGCGCUGUUUUUACACCUCCUAUAUACAUAGCACAAAGGUACAUUUAAGAUGCGUGCUCGCAAAGUGAUCAAAAUGCGUGAGCAUCCUAUUUCAAAUUUUAGCAGUCAAGGAAAGUCGGUUGAGCUGAAAGCUUGAGGGUGAUGUUACCCUGGUAGGUAAGAAAUAUAAAUUAAUUUGUUGAUUAAUUUUAUGUUUUUUUAUUUAUUUUAACCUAACUCCUUGUCAUUUAUGACUUACACAUUUAUUUCAGCAAGUCGACAAAACUGUUUCGUCCAGGCCUGCGAUAUUCUCUGCCAGGAGGUAAGUAAUUUCAAACUUGCAAAAUCUCUGUCAUGGAUUGACUAGUAAUCCUGGUACCAGGUUAUGUUAUAAUGUAAUUUUCUUUGCAUCUAGAAAACAUAGGAAAAAACAAAAACUUUUCCAGGAGCGCAUCACAGCACUGAAUUAAGCCAACUGCACUGAUAUAAAGAGAUUAAUCACCUCUGUUCAAGAGUGUGAAAAUCAGUGGCAGAGGUAGGCUGUGGCCACCAUGGACUGAAGCCUGGCCACCCCAUUGGCCACCCAUUUUUUGUCUUGGGCAUGACCAAUUGUGCCAAAAUGGCCCAACCAGCCAUGGUUUCCGGAAAUGAUGGAGAUAUUAGGUGGCCCUCCAUGGAAAAUACCGCUGAAGAGGGAUCUGCUCUCUCAAGCACAGGGCAUGAUUUGGCAUCCCCAGCCAGAGCUGUGGAACCUAAACCUAAGGCCCCUAAACGGAGCACAGCGAACAAGCCCAAAUUAGCUUAGUCUGUAAUGUACACCAUUUUGCAGGCUAGAGCACCAUCUACGAGACGCCUCUAUGCACUAAAACUGCGUGUGCUUGCGGACUGGUGCUCUUCACACAGCCAAGACCCAGUGAAUUGCUCCAUAACAGAGAUCCUUACAUUCCUUCAAGAGUGGUUGGAUGCAGGUCUUACUCCGUUAGUGUUUAAGGUCUAUGUAGCGACCAUCUCAGGCAUUUCACGCCCCAGAGGCUGGCUCCUCUAUAGACAGAUAUGAUUUUAUCAUAAAGUUCCUUAGGGGAGCGAGGCGCUUGAACCCCCUUUGCCCUGCUACGGUUCCAACAUGGGACUUAAAUCUGGUGCUGAGGGUGCUCACAAGCCCUCCUGUUCGAACCAUUGGAAUUCUUUCAGUUACAUGUACUCUCUUUAAAGGCUGCACUGCUAUUGGCUCUGGCCUCAGUCAAACAGGUUGGUGAUAUACAGGCGCUGUCGUUUGACAGUUCAUGUCUGGAAUUCGGUCCGGGGCUUUCAAAAGCCACCAUCAAACCCAAAAAAGGCUAUGUGCCUAAGGUGCUUUCCAUGCCCAUUAGGGCUCAGAUAGUGCACCUACAAGCUUUCUCUUCACCAUCUAAUUCGGACGAGGAGCUGUUAGCGCAUUUAUUAUACCCCGUGCAUUGCCUGUUUAGACUGUCAGAUCAGCUCUUCGUUUGUUAUGGAGGAUGCACUAAAGGCAUGUCCGUCUCCAAACAAAGGCUUUCUCACUGGAUCAUUGAUAACGCCUCUACGUGAGAUGCCCUAUUGGCGUAAGGGCACAUGGCUUCCUCAUGGGAAUGGACAAACGGUAUAUCCCUACAGGAUAUAUGCUUUGCCGCAGGAUGGUUUUCGCAGAACACGUUCACAAGGUUUUAUAACCUAGACGUGGCGUCCAUCACUUCGCGAGUCCUCUCUGUCUUGAGAGCUACUAUUCCAUCACCCAGCGGGUGAGCCCGAGCUCCUUAUUACAGGCGGGCUACCUGUUAUAAUUUUAAUACAGCCGCAACCUGUGUAGGCCGCAACCAAAUUUACUCCCAUUACAAUUCACGAGCACUUCCAAUAGAAUAAAAACUCCCUCCCUACCUCUGAUUAUGAAAGGGUUAAAUUAUUCUGUGUGUAGUAUAUGACUCAUUUAGCUCCUCAGAUUAAGAUUAAUUUCCCAUUUGGUUUUCACCAUGUGGGGUUAUUCAUUUUCAUACACACUUGAAGACAUAUCAUAAUAAGUCACCGCCGAAGGGCCCGUGACCUCAUAUACAUAUUCUUCUAAGUGUUUAUACCCUGGUACAUCUUAAGGUAUAACACUACAUAGUGCGGUGUGAUGGGACUCUGUUCCCCAUAGCGUUCAAAUGCAAUGUUGAAUGAACUGAAUCGAUAGGGAAUGUCUCCGGUUACUCAGGUAACCUUGGUUCCCUGAGAUGAAGGGAACGAGACAUUGCAAAACUUCGAGUUCAGUUCAGUCAGAAAAUUCUGAAGAAAUGGUGUUUGACCAUUGCCAAUCAUCAGAUUGCCAUUAUGAUACAAGGGCUUCAACUAGGUUGUGGAAAAGGAAUUCCCCCAUAGCGUUCAAAUGCAAUGUCUUGUUCCCUUCAUCUCAGGGAACUGAGGUUACAUGAGUAACCAGGGACGUUUUAUUGUCAUGUACAAAAAUAUGAUAAUUAUGUAUUUAUUUUUAUUGAAGAUUCCAUAUUAACUGAACAUGGGUUAUUAGCAAAGGCCUUCACCUAACUCAGAGCACUUCUGAAGUUCUGGACAUCAACAUAAUCAGAGCCAUGACAAGUGGAAGUCAAAGGGGACAUUUGUCUUCAAAACAAUGACAUAAAUAAUGUCAUAAAAGUGGCUCUGGAGUGCAGCAUUACUAGUUUGAACAUCUUCAUACAGAUAAAACACAACACUCCUAUUCAUCACAUCCAUCCUCAACCUGAUCUUUCAUAUGGUGUCCAGACCCCUCAGUGCAGAGAGUUGGCAUCAAACUGAUGACAUGGAGAUGGCUGAAGUGAAGUGAAGUUUUGUUUAAUUUGUUGUAUCCAGAAGGCCUCACUCAGUUUGUCAGACCAGUGGCAACAAAAUUAUUCUGUAUCUGCCCCAGUGCUAAAACUGUUUAACAGCUUUUCAUUGGUCAUUUGUUUUGAUUCAUUUUUACUUAGUUUUUUACUUGUUUAUUAACCUUACUUGUGAAUAUAAUGUUAACUUAUAGUUAACGUUAAAUGAUUUAAUGUUUAUGAUUUUUAUAUAAAUAAUAUUAGUACUAAUUAACUUUUAGCUUAUUAUAAACCUGUUGAUUUAUUAAGUCAAUUCUCAUAACUAUUGCAUUAUGAAUUAUGUUAAUUAUUGCUUGUGUUGUUGUAAAUAUUAAAAAUGCUUUACUUAAUAAUAAUUAAAUGUCUCUUAUAUGGUUAUUUCACUUUCUUAGUGACAUUGUAAAUAAACUAUUUAGUUCGCAUAUCCAUUAAAUGUUCUCCUGGUAAUAAAACAAAAAAUAAAUUUAAAAACUAAACAAAAAAACAAACGUUACGGUUGCAUGUUGGGAACCCUUAAAAGGUUCUAUAAAGAACAUUUCAACCUGGCUCAAAGAACCCUUUAGGGUUCUUUUGAUAGAACCCUUAAAAAGGGUUCUAUACAGGGGGUAUAGCUCAGCGAGUAAAGUCGCGAAUUCGAAUCCUGGGCGUGCUCAGUGACUCCAGCCAGGUCUCCUAAGCAACCAAAUUGGCCCGGUUGCUAGGGAGGGUAGAGUCACAAGGGGUAACCUCCUCGUGGUCACUAUAAUGUGGUUCGCACUCUAGGUGGGGCACGCGUAACGUGCUCAACAAGACACGUGAUAAAAUGCGCGGAUUGACUGUCUCAGACACGGAGGCAACUGAGAUUCAUCCUCCGCCACCUGGAUUGAGGCGAGUCACUACGCCACCACAAGGACUUAGAGCGCAUUGGGAAUUGGGCAUUCCAAACUGGGGAGAAAUGGGAGAAAAAAAGGGUUCUAUACAGAACCUUUUAGGAGAUCCAAAUAUGAAGCAAGCGAUAGAACCCUUUAGGGUUCUAUAUGGAAACUUUUCUUCUAAGAGUGUAGUAGGUUAACUAGCUAGUCGCAACUUUUCCCAAAUCCGUAGUAACCAUGUUGCACAUUCAUCGAUCGAAGCACAUUGUUUCAACAGUGUAGAGCUGCAGUUAAUGACAUUGCGCAGGGGGUGGAGUUCUAAAUUCUGUGGAUAUCAAAUGGACAUCAAAUGAAAAUAGCUUAUAUACAUGAACACCAUUCUGCCGUUUAAUGUGAGAAAUCUGCUGAAGACACAAAAGCGGCGUGCACUGUAUAAUGCAACAAAUGCAUUGCGCUGCAGUAGUGGGGUUUCCCUCUACAUCAGACUUUGGGGUUCCCCUCGACACACUUAAGCACAUACAUACGCAUGUGCACUUUUCAAAAACAUAUAAAAACGUCACUUAUGCAUUGUUCUUCGACAGAAAUUAAAGCACUUCCUCUUCACAGCGUUUAAUCCCUUAAACGUGAUUAAACAUGAAGUUUACAUGACCUUUCAGAACGCCGUUUUCUGCAAAACCCCAGAAUAAAAUAUUUUAAGUGCAGGUAAAUGUGGGCAAAGUCUUAUGGAACAAAUAUUGGAUUAGUCAAAUGACGUCUACACAGCAAACUAAAACUGAACUAUGCUUCUAACCAAAGGUGGAGAGCUGAAACGGGAAACACCAAAUCGUUGAAUUAUGAUGGUAAUGAUGGCCUUGCAACCAUAGUUGGUUAAUGAUGCUAAAAGAGCGUUGUUUUGAUAGCACAACAGAGCCAGUGUUUUCACUUUUUGGGGUUUCAGAACGCUCUUGGUUAAAAAUAUCUCCUACAUUUCUGUUUAUUUGCUAAAGAACUUGACAGCAGAAAAAUCUGUCCAAUUACUUUGCUUAAACACAUACUCAAAAAAAGAGUAGAAUGUCAAGCCCUACACAAAGUGGAGCACUAAACGUCAACUAAUUGGCAAUGGUA